rnacentral:sRNA from 1 species
UACAACGGUUGAACAUGAGUUUAUCAA